UAUAGCUGAGUAUGUAUAAGUGAGUAUGUAUAGCUGAGUAUGUAUAAGUGAGUAUGUAUAGCUGAGUAUGUAUAAGUGAGUAUGUAUAAUCCCAAAUACUGUCAUGCUCUCUGUCUCUAUAUGUUUUUCCGGAUCCUUCUGUCAAUCUUACCCAGAACUGCCUGCUGUUCAUAACUUCUAGCGAGGGGACAUUUUUUUUUCCACAAAUGCAACAAGUGACAUAUGUGGUUUGUUUGAGCACAUCGAUCCAUCGUUUUUGGAUUUUUAUUAUUGGGGAGUUUUGUCGGUUGCAGUUGGGUCAUCCCACCUCAGGGGGCACAACAGUGUGCUCUGUCUCUAUAAACUCUGCCGAGCAAUAGUAAAAGCUCUUUCCAGGGGAAUUUGGAGAGGGCACUGCUAUGUAAACAGGAAGUUCUUGCAAUGUUUUUUCCCGUGGUGGGCGUAUUUCAUCGAAACGGCUGUCGUCACUUGCAUCGGAAACAGGUGGCCGGUAGCACAUCUGUGUCAGUGGACAAUUUCUUUUGACAUUUAUGUAAAUGUUUUAGAGAAACAGGAUAAUUUCCCCAAGAGCUAUACAGUGAGAGGAAGGAGUGUUUGGGCUCAUAGAAGAUCUUCACUUCUUCCUCUCUACUGACCUCUUGUGGUCAUUAAGUGACAGUUUUGAGACUCAUCCAAAACACUUUUGAGGUGGACCCUACCCACUAGUUAAACAUGUUUCUGUUCUGUACAACUGCAAAAGGAUUUACCAAAAGGAGAUAUAUGUACCACAAGUUUCCUAAGAGAGUUAAAGUGUGUCAGUGUCAGUGUUGAAGGGGGCCAUGUAAUUACACAAACAUUUUGCUUUGAUACUAAUUUAUUAACACCUGAAAUGCUUGGGGUUUUAUAGUUGCACUUCCUGUGGCUCACGGGAACCAGAGCUGAAGCAUCCCUUCCCCAGUGAGCUCUGCAAUGUAUCAAAAAUCAGCUAGAAGAACGUGUCAUGUGCCAGGUCCUCGUUAGAUUUGCCAGCAACAUCGAUGGCUGACGGUAAUGGGCAAAAUAAAUGUGUUUAACAGACUGACAGACAGUAGACUGAUAGACAGCAGGAGCCCAGAAGAAAAACUGAAUAGUGAUUGCAGCACAAAUUCAGACUGUUCCAGAUUUUUCACCUUGUCACCUGAAUUGGAGACCUCUUGACAGAAUUGUUAUAUUUCAGCGUUCAGAUCUUGGUUUCUGACAGUGUGUAACAGCCUCUGACAGCUAACUCUUCUCUGAGGACCUGCGUUGGCAUGUCGCAGAGCAUUGCCACAUCCUUGUCACCAGAAACAGAGAACUUCCCUUUCUGCCCCCACGCCCUGUCAGUGCCCCCACAGCAUGUACGUUUACCGAUGCUCGAGUGAUGGAUACGUCGUGUUCUUCCAAGGAAAAUUGGCUGAAGCAUCCACCAUUGCUCCAUUUGAGAACAUUCCGGUGAUUGCUAGCAGGCACCAUGGCGCGUCCAAAUUUAGAAACCGUUUACCAUGAAAGGAAGACGGCCUAUCACGUGACUAUUUCCAGGACAGUGAAACCACCCAUUGAGAAUGUUUUACAUGCAAUUUGGCCCAGGAGCAAAGCCGCUUUUGUAUGACGUUUCCAAAGACCGCAAGUGAAUAAGUCUCACUGUAGACAGGAAUGAGGCAUUUAAAAGCCACAAUAAAGCGCUGAACAGCUGGAGAAGAGUGAAGCAA